CUUGGCAAAGGCCAAUUCUUCUUCAAAUUUCUUUGCCUUCUUCUCCAAACUCUCCCUUUCCUUGCCAAGCAUCAAGACAAUGCUAUGGGCAUCUUCCAUAUUCUCUUGGGCCUCUUUAGAUGCGUUCUUCUGCUUUGUUAGGGACUUGUAAAGCACCUCUUUCUCAUCUUCAAGGUUAGAAAUCCUAGAAUUAGCUUUCUCUAGCUCCCCAGAAAGUAUCAAUGCAUUUCGAUUCAUCUCAUCCAGUGAUUUAGUAGCAUCUUCUAGAUCUGUUUCAAGAGAUUUUCUUGCCUCCCUGUCCUUCAUGAUUUGAUUCUCCAGCCGUUGUAGCUCUUUGUUCAAAGAAGAAACUAUUUUUUUCUCUUCUCUUAGUUCAUUGGCUGUGACUUCGGCUUUCUGAUAGACAUCUAUCAAUUCUUUCUGCACACUAUCACGAUUUUCUGUAACAGCUGCCAGUUCAUGGGACAUCAACUGCAUCUCAUCCUUAGUUUUCAUCAGUUGUUCCCUCACUGCUAUAAUCUCAUUGGCUAACAC
rnacentral:misc_RNA from 1 species